CACUGUGAUUGAGAAGAAAAACUUCUAACCAAGAAAUGGGUGAACUGAAUUGGAGUUUGAAAUCUGCUACUUCUGAACUCUGUAUCUGAAGUGACUUCUAGAGAUCUACGAGCAUCCGUAUCAUCUGCAAAUGGAUCAUUACGAUGGAAGGUGUUAAAAUACAACUGAACAGUCUUCUGGAGAAAAAACAAAUAUUUGGAAGAUAAAGGAAGAAAAGAUAAAUGAGCGGAAAUGUAGGCAGGUCCUGUGGUUCAGUCAAGGAACUGAAACCAAAAAUAACUCGGAGAGCCAGGAUAAGCCAAACUGAAUUUGGGGACUUGAAUCCUCAGUCCCACCAGGAGAGGGAUGAACAUAUUUGUACACCGAGGGGAACAGCCAAUGGAGCAUCGGAG